rfam:Oryza sativa Japonica Group DNA, chromosome 1, cultivar: Nipponbare, complete sequence.
AUCCCGUGAUGAGGACAGGCAGCCACAUACUCCUGGAGUUGUUCCCAUGCUUCUGGGAUUGACUCCUCCCUCGUAUGCUGAAAUCCAGAAAUUCUCCUACAAUGGGC